AGGGUUGCCAGCGGCCUGCCCAGCCCUUAUCUAUACUUUGUCCUUCGGGACUAUGAACAUAAACGCGCUCGUAAUAAGCGGAUCGGACCCGGGGGCGGUACCCGGCGGCUCCACCAAUCACCCUUUAUUAGGGGGCAAUGGGGCCGAAAUAGGAUCGACGAACGUCUAAAGGGGUUAGCUUUGUUCCGGCGAUAUACCACCGUUAUCGGUUCACUCUGUACAAUUGCUAAUAACAAUCGUGCUCCGGCUAUGGCUCUCGCUGCGUAAGCAGUGCGAGUUGCCGAAACUUAAGUCCUUUGGCUUAGCAGCUUAAGGCGGGGUUCGCAGGCACCUGGCAACAGAAGCCUGCACU
rnacentral:tmRNA from 1 species